rnacentral:lncRNA from 1 species
GAUCUACCUUGCCUCUCUCUGGCAGAACGCUGGAGCAAAGAGACUCGCUGACUUGCUUGGUUGUAUUAAGCCCUGUGGCAGACUAAGAAACUGAAGAUGUCACGCUCAGGUGGAGCACCUCCCAGAAAGACUUUGAGAACUUUGUUUCUUCCCACUGUUCUACCUUCAUCAGUCACAUCUGAUAUGUCACCGUCACAGAAGAAACUGUUGACAUACCGAAGAUGCAACGAGCAGCAAAAGAUGCUUCAUCAGUUACUAAUCGAUCGAGCUUUAAAAGCCUAUCACGUAUCCAUGGAAGAAAAACGCAACAGAGAACCUGUACCUCCUAUCCCGAAACUGCCUUCCACUGUGAGAAAGUGUUUCUUUAAUGCCUGUUUUGUUCUUUGUUAUUCUUGCAUUUAUGGCUCUUACUUCUUAGUAUUUACUUAAAGAUAUUCAUCUCAAUCCUUAGUAAUUUAUAAAUACAUUUAUAUGCUCAAGUAGUCACAUUGAAAUCAAUACCUGUGUAUCUCCAGAAUAA